UAGAAUGAAGGUAAAUAUUUAAUUAUUCCUCAUUUCAAUAUAUAGUACAAAAAGUAAAUGUUGUGGCACGUUGAUUGAGUAAUACAAUAAUCAGUGCACAUUUUACAUUCUGGGCUUUCUUGAACUUGCUCAACCUUUAAACUGGUCUCGCUAAAUCCAAAUAAUGGAAUCUGCAGGGUACAUAAAAUAGAGCAAUAAUCUUGUUGGCUCUGUCAAUGGUAACACAAAAUAAACCAUCAAUUUUUAUGGGAACUCUAUAAUAAAUUAAUCCGUGCAUAUUCAUUUGCUGAUAAACAAAUGUAAAGUAGAGACUUGCAGCAACCUGUUACAUCCAUACGAUAAUAUAAUUCGUAUUAUCCGAAAUAUUGCCAUAUAUAGCUCGUAGAUGUGGCACCUAAAUUAAAUUUACUAAAGUUAACGAACGACAGAUAUUACAUUAUAAGCCCUAAGAAUUCAAUCAUAUAUACAUUCCUUGCGCACAUUUCCGAUUACCACUGUUAGAGUAAGUUUUUUCCCACAAUUUGAGCAUAGAAAAACAUUGUGUGCAAAUUUAAGCUUGUGCACCUUGUAAAAAAUGCAUUGCUCCAUUUUAUUUAACAUAUAUUUGACUAUAUAUACCAGAACAGAACUCAAUUAUCCUGACAAUUUCUACGGUAGAUCGUUUACCAAGGCGACAAUAAGGAACUUAAAAAGCCACCAGAAAUGUGUUUUUUUUUUGCAAUUUUUUUCUUGAAUCUACACGAUACUGGUAACUGCUGAGCAAGCCGGAUAGCGUCAAACCAACGAUCCUUUCCGGGUACGGUGUCAAUUCGUAUACGUACCUGUGGUGAUGCCAGCUGCGUGCGCCAAGGUUAAUGAGGACAAACAGCAGGAAGGGGAGCGCAGGCAGUGACCAACAGAUAAGCGCGUAGCCGCUCCACUCAACCAGUGUAAUGACGUAGAUGUCGAAUUAUUUAACCUAGUAUAGAACUUAGCGACACGGGUCGUUUAACGUAAGCAGAUCACGUCAUAGAUUAUUUUAGUAACAGCCAAGGCAACAAGCGAAGGACACCUGCUCUCGUCACUAGCCGCACACGCCGGGCGCGUGGCGCGCGCGUGGCACAACAAAAGAAGAGAAAAUAUGUGACGACAGAAAGAGAAAGUAAUCACCUACACAAGGCUGAAAGAAACAUAGUGACACUUUAGCACCUACACAAGGCCG